AUACGGAGGGUGCAAGCGUUACUUGGAAUCACUGGGCGUAAAGCGCGCGCAGGCGGCUAUUUAAGUUGGAUGUGAAAGCCUACGGCUCAACCGUAGAACUGCAUCCAAAACUAUUUAGCUAGAGUGUGGGAGAGGAAGAUGGAAUUAGUUGUGUAGGGGUAAAAUCCGUAGAGAUAACUAGGAAUACCAAAAGCGAAAGCAAUCUUCUGGAACACUACUGACGCUGAGGCGCGAAAGCGUGGGGAGCAAACGGGAUUAGAAACCCUAGUAGUCC
rnacentral:rRNA from 1 species